UGUUUCGGCUAGGGGGUCAUCCCGACUUACCAACCCGAUGCAAACUGCGAAUACCGAAGAAUGUUAUCACGGGAGACACACGGCGGGUGCUAACGUCCGUCGUGAAGAGGGAAACAACCCAGACCGCCAGCUAAGGUCCCAAAGUCAUGGUUAAGUGGGAAACGAUGUGGGAAGGCACAGACAGCCAGGAUGUUGGCUUAGAAGCAGCCAUCAUUUAAAGAAAGCGUAAUAGCUCACUGGUCGAGUCGGCCUGCGCGGAAGAUGUAACGGGGCUAAACCAUGCACCGAAGCUGCGGCAGCGACACUAUGUGUUGUUGGGUAGGGGAGCGUUCUGUAAGCCGUUGAAGGUGUGCUGUGAGGCAUGCUGGAGGUAUCAGAAGUGCGAAUGCUGACAUAAGUAACGAUAAUGCGGGUGAAAAACCCGCACGCCGGAAGACCAAGGGUUCCUGUCCAACGUUAAUCGGGGCAGGGUGAGUCGACCCCUAAGGCGAGGCCGAAAGGCGUAGUCGAUGGGAAACAGGUUAAUAUUCCUGUACUUGGUGUUACUGCGAAGGGGGGACGGAGAAGGCUAUGUUAGCCGGGCGACGGUUGUCCCGGUUUAAGCAUGUAGGCGGAGAUUCCAGGUAAAUCCGGAGUCUUGCUAACGCUGAGGUGUGAUGACGAGGCACUACGGUGCUG
rnacentral:rRNA from 1 species